GACGAACGCUGGCGGCGCGCUUAACACAUGCAAGUCGAGCGAGAACCCAGGCUUCGGCCUGGGGGAAAGCGGCGAACGGGUGAGUAACACGUGGGUAAUCUGCCCUCGGCAUCGGGAUAGCCCGGGGAAACCCGGAUUAAUACCGGAUGGCCCGACAGCUCUUCGGAGCGGUCGGAAAAGGUAGCUUCGGCCUCCGGCCGAGGAGGAGCCCGCGGCGGAUUAGCUUGUUGGUGAGGUAAUGGCCCACCAAGGCUCCGAUCCGUAGCUGGUCUGAGAGGACGAUCAGCCACACUGGGACUGAGACACGGCCCAGACUCCUACGGGAGGCAGCAGUGGGGAAUCUUGCGCAAUGGGCGAAAGCCUGACGCAGCGACGCCGCGUGAGGGAAGAAGGCCUUCGGGUUGUAAACCUCUUUCAGGAGGGACGAAGCCACUCGGGUUAAUAGCCCAGAGGGUGACGGUACCUCCAGAAGAAGCCCCGGCUAACUGCGUGCCAGCCGCCGCCGUAA
rnacentral:rRNA from 1 species